GUAUAAGAGCACUAAUUCUCAACUUCUAUGCUAGACAACAGAUAAUGUUUAACAUAGAUACAUCAGGGUAUCUACAAUAUAUCUACAUUAUCUAGAAAAAACAAGGCAAGUACAGAGGAAACAACUCUGAGUUGAAAGUCGUGACCCUUGAGAAAGAAUUGGAGAUGCAAACGGAGUCAUGCUCAGCUGCAGGAGACACAAUUAAUGAAAUGUACUAAGUACAGAGGACUGAAUUCAUUACCCUCCCCACAACUGCACCAUGAUACCACAUCACUGAUGCUGUUGAUACAGCAUUGUGCAAAUAAUGUAUAUUGUUGUUUAUCCCUUUUAUGAACACUCUUUACUUUCAUUCUCUUCCAUGACUGCCACCAUAGCCAAUGUGUUUUAAUUGUGGAUUUGAAUUUGAGUAAAUCCUUGCAAGAUAAAUUUGUGUCUUUUCAUUUACAUGAUAAUGGCAGCAUGAUA